rnacentral:rRNA from 1 species
GAUGAACGCUGGCGGCGUGCUUAACACAUGCAAGUCGAACGAAGCACUCUUUUAGAUUUCCUUCGGGGAAGAAGAAAUUGUGACUGAGUGGCGGACGGGUGAGUAACGCGUGGGCAACCUGCCCCAUACAGGGGGAUAACAGCCGGAAACGGCUGCUAAAACCGCAUAAGCGCACAAGGGCCGCAUGGCCUGGUGUGAAAAACUCCGGUGGUAUGGGAUGGGCCCGCGUCUGAUUAGCUAGUUGGCGGGGGAGAGGCCCACCAAGGCGACGAUCAGUAGCCGACCUGAGAGGGUGGCCGGCCACAUUGGGACUGAGACACGGCCCAA